UAGCGUAGGUGGCAAGCGUUUACUCGGAAUCACUAGGCGUAAAGCGCAGGUAGGCGGUUUGGUAAGUCUGUUGUGAAAGCUCCCGGCUCAACUGGGAGAGGCCAACGGAAACUACCAGGCUAGAGUGUGGUAGAGGAAGCUAGAAUUCCCGGUGUAGCGGUGAAAUGCGUAGAUAUCGGGAGGAAUACCUAUGGCGAAAGCAGGCUUCUGGACCAUCACUGACGCUGAGCUGCGAAAGCUAGGGGAGCAAACAGG
rnacentral:rRNA from 1 species